rnacentral:rRNA from 1 species
GUACACUCCUACGGGAGGCAGCAGUGGGGAAUUUUGGACAAUGGGCGAAAGCCUGAUCCAGCAAUGCCGCGUGAGUGAAGAAGGCCUUCGGGUUGUAAAGCUCUUUUGUCAGGGAAGAAACGGUGAGAGCUAAUAUCUUUUGCUAAUGACGGUACCUGAAGAAUAAGCACCGGCUAACUACGUGCCAGCAGCCGCGGUAAUACGUAGGGUGCAAGCGUUAAUCGGAAUUACUGGGCGUAAAGCGUGCGCAGGCGGUUUUGUAAGUCUGAUGUGAAAUCCCCGGGCUCAACCUGGGAAUUGCAUUGGAGACUGCAAGGCUAGAAUCUGGCAGAGGGGGGUAGAAUUCCACGUGUAGCAGUGAAAUGCGUAGAUAUGUGGAGGAACACCGAUGGCGAAGGCAGCCCCCUGGGUCAAGAUUGACGCUCAUGCACGAAAGCGUGGGGAGCAAACAGGAUUAGAAACCCCUGUAGUCCCAU